AAUCAGUAUUUCUCUAAUUUUAUUACUUUUUGAAACCUCUUUAAAAGGAAAAAAUACAUGUGAAUUCCCCAGUAUUGACAUGGGAAUGGAUUACUGUACAAUAGUGAUGCAUGUAUAAAAUGAUUGCUCUGACCAUAAUUGUCAACAAAAGUCGGUAGAAUGAAAAUAAGAAAGCUGAUGUCCCUUUCACUACUACCUGCUGUGGUCAAAUAUUGCUUGCCUACUCUUUAUCCUAAAAAAAGAAAUGGGGCUAACAUCCUACCUCCCACUUCCACCAAACCCUCCAUCCAACAGCAAUUUGUCCUCUUAUGCAAGGUGAGAAGAAUUGCCCCAGUUGUUCUGGAAAAAGUGUUCUUUUUUUUUUUUUCCAGACAGAGUCUCGCUCUGUCACCUAGGCUGGAGUGCAGUGGUGCGAUCUGGGCUCACUGCAACCUCCACCUCCCAGGGUUAAACGAUUCUUCUGCCUCAGACUCCUGAGUAGCUGGGAUUACAGGCAUGUGCCACCACACUUGGCUAAUAUUUGUAUUUUUAGUAGAGAUGGGAUUUCACCCUGUUGGCCGGGCUGAUCUAGAAUUCCUGACCUCAGGUGACCCACCCGCCUCAGCCUCCCAAAGUGCUGGGAUUACAGGCAUGAACCAGUGCACCCAGCUAGAAAAGGUGCUCUUUUCUUUGUCCUUCCCUGCCUUUGUUCGCUUCCUAAGUGGUACCAUUCUUGGCCAGGUACACCAUUGUCUCUUUGAAGGUAAUUAAACAGAUUGUAUAAGAUGUCAUUAAGUUUUAUCACAAUUGCACACAAGGACAGACUAUUGGACACAACCACCUAAGUACAUACGUCCUAGAUACUUAGGUGGCCAUGAAGCACAGGUCAGAGUCAGGCCAAGGUUCAGCUGACUGUAGGAAGGCCUCACCUUCCUUUUGAUGCGGUUACAAGAUGGUUCAUUUGCUACCUUGCAGAAAUAGCUUUGAAGAAAAGUACUGUAAGCUGCGUGGUUGUAAUUGGAUUUAAGUACUGUUGAAUAUAAUAUAAAAGUGACGCAUCCUCCUAAUAAUUAAAGUUGUCAUCUCCAGGUUUUAUUCAACAUUUGAAUCAUGCUCAAACUUGCAGACUUGACUUAAAGCUUAGAUGCUUCAUCUCCAAAAGAAGCUGGCCAUGGAGUACAACAAGGAAUCUAGUAGCAGUCUGGAGUUUUCCUCUAGAAAGUGCUGUGGUCUCAAAAUGCAGUCCUGGGUAUCUGGACACAAUCCCACAAAGGGUGACUGCUAAAAAGAAAAGAUUUCAGGAUUGAGGAACAUAGCUCCUUCUUCUAAUGCACACUAUGUUGGGAUGGUGGGAUGAAGGCCGAAAUUUUCCAGGUUGGAGUCUUUUGGUGGUUUGUUUGCUUAUCCUGUAUCUGGAGUUGAGAAGAAACCAAGUUUGAGAUUUAGGAUGUGGACAGGAGGUAGGAGUUUUGCCCAUAAAUUACAACAGAGUCUGAACCCAUGGGGACUGCCAAGAAGACAAAGUGGUCACAAUUGGCUUGGGCCCGAAGCCAGGGCCCCUGCAGAGCAGGAGCCCAGUUGGGGCCUCCUCCCAGAGCCAGUGCAGCUCUGCCUGUGCGUGGAUGAUAAGCUCUGUGCUGCUUCCUCUGAAUCAUGAAAACAAACAGACCGGGCCACGAUGGAAUAAAUGAAGCUGCAGAUGAAAGACAUUUUGAAGACGAACAUGAAUUAGAGGGUUGGAGGGAUCUGAUUUUGACUUUCACAUUCAUCUGCCUUCUCCUUUCAGCAGUGGGGCCAAGGUGGCCGGCCAAGCCACUGGGACUUCUACAAGGGCCUCUGCAGGCAGGAGGCUAGUGAAGACUUAGAGCCUGUAGCGUGGACUCACGCUCAGGAGAGCCAUGAAGCCGGGGCCUCGUCUGCAGCUUUCUUCAUUCACGCUGAGAAAGUUUGUCCUUCCUGCCACCCGUAAUUUUCCUGGAGAACUGAAAAUAACAAAACCAGAGGGAUAUCCACAGAGUCCAUAGGUUCCUAGGUUAGUUCUACACGGUCCCCUUCUCCUCCCAGAAACACGAGAUGUCAGAUUCCUCAAGAUUCCUUUGAGCUCACCCUAAACUGCUCGGGGCAAGAACAUCAGUCUGUUUGUCUCUUGAGACCGUCUCUGGCAUGUUUAUGAAAAGAUCACUGGAGACUCCAGUUUCACAAUCAACAAUGUACCUAAAAAUAGAAAAAAAUCUGUUCCAGGAUAAUUUUGUCUCCGAACAGCAAGAUCAACAAAAGAUGCCUUCAGGGAACAAGUGGUCCUUCACUGAAGUCUAACGAAGCUCUGAGCUGCCUCUCAGAGCAAGGGGAGGGUGUGGCUCCCAAACGUCCUCUUCCUCUUCCCAUCAGCUCACACUGACUGGCAGUACGGAUGAAGCUGUGAACAGUAAAUGGUGACUGUGAACCAUUCUGACGCCGUCACCUGGGGCUAGGUGGCACUGUUUAAUGAACCAUCUCUGCGCAAGGCAAGGCCCAGGGUCUAAUUGGUUGGAAAGCUUUGUAGGAAACCCAGAAUGCUAGUUGCCAAGACUCUCUUCCCCUAAGUUUUAAAAUUCCUAGGUAAUUCCCUGGAAAUGUAAUCCGGAUGUUCCUGACUCCUGUAUAUUUAAACCCAUCCCACUGUUGUUUCCAAAAGACAUUUUAUGGAUAUUCCAGGCAUGAGAACUGACACUCACAGCAUUCACACAGCAUGCCAAGUGGCAAAUCUGGAACACAAACAUCGCUCUUUAUGACUCCAGAGUUAUCAUCCUGCUGCUGUGAGUAUGAAAUGGCAUAAGACAUGUACAGGGUAGGGCUCAUAGUAGCUACGGAAAAGAACCAACACUAAGAACCUGUCUACUGUGUGCCAUACCCUAGAUGUGUUUUCCUUUCCAAGGCUGUCAUUUUGCUUGUGCAUGCAAGGCUUUUGUGGAUGUGACAGUUCUAGUAGAGGAUCACAGGGACAUGUGCACCUCUGACUAAGAUUGUCCUCCUCCACCAUGAACACAACUUUCAGAGGAUGUAAGUAGAAUGGUAAGUGAGGAAGGAGGCAACCACUCAUUAGAGAAAUAUUUUCCAUAUCAGUCCUUGAAAUGGGGCCAGGCACAGUGGCUCACAACUGUAAUCCCAGCAUUUAGGAGGCCGAGGAAGGAGGAUUGCUUGAGGCCAGGAGUUUGAGAUCAGCCUGGCAACAUAGGGAGACUCUGUCUCUAUUAAAAAAAACCUUAAAACAAUUAGCUGGGCAUGAUGGUGCAUGCCUGUGGUCCUAGCUACUCAGGAGGCUGAUGCAGGAGGAUCACUUGAGCCUAGGUGUUCAAGGCUGCAGUGAGCUAUGAUGGCACUACUAAACUCCAGUCUGAGUGACAGAGUGAGACCCUCUCUAAAAAAACAAACAAACAAAAAAACUUUGAAAUGAAUGGAGCAAAAGAUAUCUCAGACAGACCCCAUACUCUUCCUAAAGGGAUUUAGGUAUGCCCCAUUUCAGCAUGAACGUACGUCUAGAAAAUACAAAAGGAGGAAGAAUGUUCUGUCCAGUGUUUUAUUUGUGCAAAUGACGGGAUUUCUAAAGCUUUUCAACAACACAACAGUUGGCUGUAUUCAAAAUCAGCCGAUAGUAAGCAGGUACCUUGUCCUCUAAAGGUUUCUAGAAGGCUACAUGGUCUGUAUUUGGUCAUCCUGAUUUAAUUCCCUAUUUUUCUGAUAGAGAAGGAAUGUCGCUCUCUGUAGAAAUAUGUGUCCUAAAAGUCCCUUGGCUACUCUGAUUGAAAAAAGAAACAUGUUUGCAGGACUAAGCUAAGAUGUUGAGAUAAGAAUGAACACAGUGGUCACAACAGAUAAACAGGAGGAGGAAAGGAGCUGAUGAAAAUGGGAAUGCUUUCUUUUUUUUUUCUGUCUUUACAGUUGCCUUGCAGAGGCGCUAAACCCCAUAACUAUGUUUAUAUUCUGAUGAUGUAAGACAUUGCUUCCAAAGAGAUAGCAGUUUCCAUAGAGCUGAAUCUAUGGGAGCACAUAUUAAUCUCUUUUUUAUUUUAGGAGGAAGAGAAUCACAUCACAGAAAAGUCGUGAAAUGAUUGAAAUGUUCUUUUCUGUUCCCCCAAAGCAUCAUUAAAUGUAUGUUUCAAUCUCCUAAUAUAAUCUGAUUAACAUAUAUGCUUGACAUGAUUCAUUAGAAUAAUGACAAUGGGAAUUUCCAAGGAACACUUAUUCUGUGCCAGGGACAGUGCUAGCCACUCGACAUGAAUUAUUUCACUUAAUCUUCUCAGUAAUUUAGUUGAGAAAAUUGAGACUCUGAUUUUAAGUGAUUUUUCUAAGGCCGUGUACAUAAUGCAUAGGUUUGAAUUCCAUGUGUCUUUGACUGCAGAAUCCAUGCUAGGCCACACCUCCUAGCUCUAAAACAGCAAUAAUAUAUCAUAAGAAAGGGACCAGGAGAUGAAAGGGGGCAGGAAUUGGCAUCUGCCCAGUACUUGGUCUAUAUCAGGUACAUUACAUGUUUUCGCAUGCCCAACUUUACAUAAUUAAUAAGUAGGUGAGCUAAGAUUUAACACCAAAUGGAUCUGCUUUCAUAGUUCACUCAUGUUCCCUCAAGUGGACUUUCUGCCUGAUUACUUUAGGUGAGUUUAAAAAAAUUAAAAUAGGUAUUAAAGUUAAAUUUAGGGACCACCUAAUCCUGAAGCUAACCAAAAACAGUAUUGGGAAUUAAACUUAAGACACUGAUAUCCUGAUUAUCUAUUGCUGCAUAACAAGUUACCCCAAAGUGUGGUGGCUUUAAUAUAAUAAUUUAUUAUUGUUAUUAUAAUCAUAAUUCUGUGGAUGAAAAACUCAGGUGGAACACAGUGCAACAGCAUGCUUCUUUUCUUCUCUUUCGCUGUUAUUUAUUUAUUUAAGUUUUAACUGACACGUAGUAACUAUACAUAUUUAUGUGGUAAAGUGUGAUGUUUCAAUAAAGGCAUGCAUUGUGCAAUGAUCAAAUCGGGGUAUUUAACAUAGUCAUCACCACAUACAUUUAUCUUUUCUUUGUGAUGAGAACAUUUCAAAAUCCUCUCUUCUAACUAUUUUGAAAUAUACAAGACAAUAUUAUCAACCAUAGUCUCCCUACUGUGCAAUACAACACCAGAACUUAUUCCUUCUGUCUAACUGUAACUUUGUACCCACUGACCAACAUCUCUGCAUGCCUCAGGAUGUCUUGCUUCUGCUCAGCAAUGUCUGGAGUCUCAGAUGGGAAGACUUGAAUGGUUGGGGGCUGAAACAGCUGAAGGCUGGAUGGGUAUCUCUCUCUUACUCUGCCUUUAUCUCUCUCUCUCUCUCACUGUCUCUCUCUCUCCAAAAUAGCAAGCUUAGGCUUCCUCACAAUAUGGCAAUCUCAGGUUAGUUGGACAUCUUAAACCGCAGCAGAGCUUCAGAGUGUUCCAAGUAUUUCAAGAAAAGGAAGUGACAUCUACCAGUCUCUUAAGGCCUGGACCAAGAAACGGAU
rnacentral:lncRNA from 1 species